AUACAUGCAAGUCGAACGAGUUCUGAUUAUUGAAAGGUGCUUGCAUCUUGAUUUAAUUUUGAACGAGUGGCGGACGGGUGAGUAACACGUGGGUAACCUGCCCUUAAGUGGGGGAUAACAUUUGGAAACAGAUGCUAAUACCGCAUAAAUCCAAGAACCGCAUGGUUCUUGGCUGAAAGAUGGCGUAAGCUAUCGCUUUUGGAUGGACCCGCGGCGUAUUAGCUAGUUGGUGAGGUAACGGCUCACCAAGGCAAUGAUACGUAGCCGAACUGAGAGGUUGAUCGGCCACAUUGGGACUGAGACACGGCCCAAACUCCUACGGGAGGCAGCAGUAGGGAAUCUUCCACAAUGGACGCAAGUCUGAUGGAGCAACGCCGCGUGAGUGAAGAAGGCUUUCGGGUCGUAAAACUCUGUUGUUGGAGAAGAAUGGUCGGCAGAGUAACUGUUGUCGGCGUGACGGUAUCCAACCAGAAAGCCACGGCUAACUACGUGCCAGCAGCCGCGGUAAUACGUAGGUGGCAAGCGUUAUCCGGAUUUAUUGGGCGUAAAGCGAGCGCAGGCGGUUUUUUAAGUCUGAUGUGAAAGCCCUCGGCUUAACCGAGGAAGUGCAUCGGAAACUGGGAAACUUGAGUGCAGAAGAGGACAGUGGAACUCCAUGUGUAGCGGUGAAAUGCGUAGAUAUAUGGAAGAACACCAGUGGCGAAGGCGGCUGUCUGGUCUGUAACUGACGCUGAGGCUCGAAAGCAUGGGUAGCGAACAGGAUUAGAUACCCUGGUAGUCCAUGCCGUAAACGAUGAAUGCUAGGUGUUGGAGGGUUUCCGCCCUUCAGUGCCGCAGCUAACGCAUUAAGCAUUCCGCCUGGGGAGUACGACCGCAAGGUUGAAACUCAAAGGAAUUGACGGGGGCCCGCACAAGCGGUGGAGCAUGUGGUUUAAUUCGAAGCAACGCGAAGAACCUUACCAGGUCUUGACAUCUUUUGAUCACCUGAGAGAUCAGGUUUCCCCUUCGGGGGCAAAAUGACAGGUGGUGCAUGGUUGUCGUCAGCUCGUGUCGUGAGAUGUUGGGUUAAGUCGACCGCAACGAGCGCAACCCUUAUGACUAGUUGCCAGCAUUUAGUUGGGCACUCUAGUAAGACUGCCGGUGACAAACCGGAGGAAGGUGGGGAUGACGUCAAAUCAUCAUGCCCCUUAUGACCUGGGCUACACACGUGCUACAAUGGAUGGUACAACGAGUUGCGAGACCGCGAGGUCAAGCUAAUCUCUUAAAGCCAUUCUCAGUUCGGACUGUAGGCUGCAACUCGCCUACACGAAGUCGGAAUCGCUAGUAAUCGCGGAUCAGCACGCCGCGGUGAAUACGUUCCCGGGCCUUGUACACACCGCCCGUCACACCAUGAGAGUUUGUAACACCCGAAGCCGGUGGCGUAACCCUUUUAGGGAGCGAGCCGUCUAAGGUGGGACAAAUGAUUAGGGUGAAGUCGUAACAAG
rnacentral:rRNA from 2 species